rnacentral:sRNA from 1 species
AAAUUUGGGGGUGGCCGUAUCAUUAUGUGGAGCACUGUAGUUAGAAGAUUA